GACGAACGCUGGCGGCGUGCUUAACACAUGCAAGUCGAGCGGUAAGGCCCUUUCGGGGUACGACGAGCGGCGAACGGGUGAGUAACACGUGGGUGACCUGCCCUCAGCUCUGGGAUAAGCCUGGGAAACCGGGUCUAAUACCGGAUAUGACUCCAUGACGCAUGUUGUGGGGUGGAAAGCCUUGUGCGGCUGAGGAUGGGCCCGCGGCCUAUCAGCUUGUUGGUGGGGUGAUGGCCUACCAAGGCGACGACGGGUAGCCGGCCUGAGAGGGCGACCGGCCACACUGGGACUGAGACACGGCCCAGACUCCUACGGGAGGCAGCAGGUGGGGAAUCUUGCGCAAUGGGCGAAAGCCUGACGCAGCGACGCCGCGUGAGGGAUGG
rnacentral:rRNA from 1 species